GCUUUGAGUUUUGAAGCCACUAGUUCACCUAACCUUGAGUGGGACUCCUAGUUAAAAAACCAAAAGAUACAGCCAUGAAAAUGAACUAGGAGAGACAGUUUAACGUGGGUGUCCAGGCCAGCUUGCGCGCACCUCGACUAAUCCCGCGGGUCCUGAAGUUAACGACCAUGUAAGCCUUCAGUGGCCAUCAUAUGAGUAACCACAGGGCUUGAACCUGAGACCACAGAGGGAGUAAACCUCUUGGUCCCAAGCUCUUACCACUGGGCCACCACCUAGAAGGUUUCUUCACCAAGUUUCUUGAUAAUGCUAGUAUUUGUGCCAACGAUUAAUUGAUUUAAGUAGAUGAAGAAUAAUCAUUCAACCCCAAUCUCAAGUGCGAGUUAUGUCCACUAGCUUUUUAAUUAAAUAUAAUGUUGAUAUUCGAUUUAUUCUUUCAAUGUAUAUAUUAUGAAUUUUAAGUUCAUCGUAAAUGCAAUUAAUUCUUUUUUUUAACA